rnacentral:rRNA from 1 species
CGAGUUGUAUUUGCAGAGGGUGCUUCGGGCGCGCGACCGGCCUAAGUUCCUUGGAACAGGGCGUCACAGAGGGUGAGAAUCCCGUACGUGGCCGGCCGUCACCCCCGUGUGAAGCCCCUUCGACGAGUCGAGUUGUUUGGGAAUGCAGCUCAAAAUGGGUGGUAAAUUCCAUCUAAAGCUAAAUACCGGCCGGAGACCGAUAGCGCACAAGUAGAGUGAUCGAAAGAUGAAAAGCACUUUGAAAAGAGAGUCAAACAGUAUGUGAAAUUGUUGAAAGGGAAGCGCUGGCAACCAGACGUGCCCGCGGGGGAUCACCCGGCCCUCGGGUCGGCGCACUCGCCCGCGAUCAGGCCAGCAUCGGUUUCGGCGGUCGGACAAAGGCGCGCGGGAACGUAGCUCCUCUCGGGGAGUGUUAUAGCCCACGCCGCAAUGCGGCCAGCCGGGACCGAGGACCGCGCUCACGCGAGGAUGCUGGCGUAAUGGUUGUCAGCGACCCGUCUUGAAACACGGACCAAGGAGUCUAACAUCCAUGCGAGUGUUUGGGCGUGAAACCCAUGCGCGGAAUGAAAGUGAACGGAGGUGGGAGCUUCGGCGCACCAUCGACCGAUCCUGAUGUCUUCGGAUGGAUUUGAGUAGGAACAUGGCUGUU